GUAGGUGGCAAGCGUUGUCCGGGAAUUAUUGGGGCGUAAAGCGCGCGCAGGCGGUUCUUUAAGUCUGAUGUGAAAGCCCACGGGCUCAACCGUGGAGGGUCAUUGGAAACUGGAGAACUUGAGUACAGAAGAGGAAGGCGGAAUUCCACGUGUAGCGGUGAAAUGCGUAGAGAUGUGGAGGAACACCAGUGGCGAAGGCGGCUUUCUGGUCUGUAACUGACGCUGAGGCGCGAAAGCGUGGGGAGCAAACAGGAUUAGAUACCCUGGUAGUCCACGCCGUAAACGAUGAGUGCUAAGUGUUAGGGGGUUUCCGCCCCUUAGUGCUGCAGCUAACGCAUUAAGCACUCCGCCUGGGGAGUACGGCCGCAAAGGCUG
rnacentral:rRNA from 1 species